UACGUAGGGGGCAAGCGUUAUCCGGAUUUACUGGGUGUAAAGGGAGCGUAGACGGAAGGCCAAGUCUGAUGUGAAAGCCCGGGGCUCAACCGCGGGACUGCAUUGGAAACUGGUCAACUAGAGUACCGGAGGGGUGAGCGGAAUUCCUGGUGUAGCGGUGAAAUGCGCAGAUAUCAGGAAGAACACCGGCGGCGAAGGCGGCUCACUGGACGGCAACUGACGUUGAGGCUCGAAAGCGUGGGUAG
rnacentral:rRNA from 1 species